AUGGUGCACACGACGGCCGGGCCGAUUCGUGGGUCGGUGGGUCGUAGGCCGUGGGUCGUAGGCCGUGGGUCGGAGGGGCCAGACAACUAAGCAGCGCGCGGCGGGGGCGGGGCUCCGAACUUUGUCUCUAAGUUUCCGGUUUUGUGCUCAGCGGCUCCACCCUCGAUGCGCAUGCGCGCCUUUCCCACCCUCUGUUCCGGCUCCUCACCAGGCCAGGAGCGCGAGCCUGGAGGAGGGGGAGGAGAAGGGGCGGAGCAGUCGGUGGGCGCUUCUGCUGGGGAGGCGAGCGCGACUGGACUCUUAAGUUCCCCUUUCCUCUGCAGAGGGACCGAUUAGGGAGAGAGACCAGAAAUGAGUGGAAUGCUAUCUUAAGCCAAAAAACUAUUACAAUUUUUAUUUAAUACUACUUAAAUGAAGAAAGAUAAAAAAAGAAACAAAAUUCAAAUUGAUAAUUAUCCCAUUCAGACAUUAGUAAAUAUGUCGCUCAAUCCAAGUCGACCUUCCUCAUCAGAGUUGGUGGAACUUCAUGUUUUUUAUGUCCCUGAAGGAUCAUGGAACUAUAAGCUAAAUACCAUUUCAACAGAAGUUGUUAACAAAUUCAUUUCAGCUGGAUUUCUAAGAGUAUCUCCUCAACUUACUUUACGAGCCCUGAGGGAGCGUCUUGGUGAAUUCCUGGGUGAAGAUGCUAUUGCAGAAAAAUUUUUAUUUCUGAAAUGCAUUGGAAAUAAUUUAGCUGUGGUGAAGGAAAAGCAAGAAUCAGAACUGAAACUCAAAUCAUUUGCUCCUCCAUAUGCUCUUCAACCAGAAUUAUAUUUGCUUCCUAUAAUGGACCAUUUAGGAAAUAUCUAUUCACCAUCAUCAACAGUUAUUUUAGAUGAGCAGCAGACUAAUAAUGGUGCUAAUGAGGCUGAUGGAACAAUCCACAGACCAAUUAGUGUAACUUUGUUCAAGGAGGAACUUGGAAGAGAUCCCAGUUUGUUAGAAAACACUUUGAAAGAGCUUCCUAACAAGAAUCAGGAAGAAGCAUCAGCUGGGGGAAAAGCCACUGCGGAAAAAAGCCAGAUUGCAAAAAAUCAAAUUAGAAAUUCUGAGUUGCCAAGAUCAUUGGAAGAUUCAAAUAAUGAUUGCUUUGGCACCAAAAAAAGUCAGUGUCUCUGGGACAAUGAAGAUGAUACAGCUAUCAGUAGAAGACAGGACAAUCAGAUAGGUGAAAAAGAGUACAUCACCCUACCAGAUCACCCUUCACUUCAUUGUCAACCUGUUCUUUCUUCAAGAAUAAUUGAUAUCUCUUUAUUACCAACUGAAAGAGAGAAGAUUAUCAAACAAAUGAAACAAGUAAAGGAAGAAAGAAGGUAUCUGGAAAGAAAUAGAGAAGAACUAGUAAAAACAGUUGAAAAGCUAUUUGAACAAAGCAAAUUAAAACGAUAUCAUGCCUAUGACGGUUGGAAGAAAAAAUACUUGGAAACAAAGAAAGUCACAGCAUCAGUGGAGGAGGUUUUAACAAAACUUCGAGAAGAUUUGGAACUCUACUAUAAACAAUUGCUCAUGCAACUUGAAGCCAGGGAGAUCAAGAUGAGACCAAAGAAUCUGGCAAACAUCACAGACUCCAAGAAUUAUCUGAUAAUCCAGAUCACUGAGGUGCAGCAUGCAAUUGACCAACUUAAGAGAAAACUGGAUACUGACAAAACGAAACUCACAGUAGAAGUUAAGAUGAGAAAACAAGCAGUUUCAGAUUUACGAACAUUGAAAACUGAACUGGCACAGAAAAAAAAAAUAAUACAUCUCUACAAUCUCAAUUAGUUGCUAGAAGUGUGCCUAGCUAGGAGCUCUACAGAAGAUUUUGUUUAUGAUGAAUCAGCCAGAUCAAAAGGGAGCAUUGGCUGCUGCAAUACAUUCCGACCAGAUCUGACUUUGUUCAUCAUAAGACAUCACAAAGAGGAAGUCACAAGCAU